rnacentral:rRNA from 1 species
UACAGAGGGUGCAAGCGUUGUUCGGAAUCAUUGGGCGUAAAGGGCGUGUAGGCGGUCUGUUAAGUCAUGUGUGAAAUCCCUCGGCUCAACCGGGGAACGACGCAUGAAACUGACAAGCUAGAGUACCAAAGAGGGUCGCGGAAUUCCCGGUGUAGAGGUGAAAUGCGUAGAUAUCUGGAGGAACACCGGUGGCGAAGGCGGCAUCCUGGACCAAUUCUGACGCUGAGGAGCGAAAGCCAGGGGAGCAAACGGG